AGAGCAGCUCCUUAAAUGACACAGGGACCAAAUAUUUUCCAGAUCGCACACUUCAAUAUCUUUCCUUGGGAUCUUGGCUGGGUUUUUUGGAUACCCUAGAAGAAACCUGUGAACCUAGGAUUCUCUCCCUGACGAGGGAGAUGGCGAGCCGACCAACUUGAUUCAUCUUCAUCCACUUGAGGAAGGACCCCCUGAUACCCCUUGUUUCUCCCAGCCCCACUCCUGUGUGGUAGGAUUGUGAUUCAGAAAUUACAUAAUUUUAUUUGAUACUUUAUUUUUUUU